GGUCUGUGGUCCUCUGAUCAGCGUAGCCUGGUGGGAGUACACGACUCGCCUCCUCAGGGUUCCCUGUGCUGCCACUUUUCAGCCAUGGCCACAAGUGAACAGAGUAUCUGCCAAGCCCGGGCUUCCGUCAUGGUCUACGAUGACACCAGUAAGAAAUGGGUACCAAUCAAACCUGGCCAGCAGGGAUUCAGCCGGAUCAACAUCUACCACAACACUGCCAGCAAUACCUUCAGAGUCGUUGGAGUCAAGCUGCAGGAUCAGCAGGUCAGUGCUGGAAUUACAGAUUAUACCCGUGAGCCUGCACACCACCUCCUCACCACCCACCCCUUACACACACGUAUCAUUAAGAGGUCAGAACAAAAAGGUCAAUAUUCGGAAUCAGAGGACCUGGGCUCAGAUUUUGACUCCAUAUCGUCAUAGUUCAAGGUAUGACACCUUAAGCAAACUGUUUCUGGAUUUCACUUUUUACCUAUGUCAUAUGGAGACAGUGAUCCACACCCUGCCUA
rnacentral:sRNA from 1 species